rnacentral:rRNA from 1 species
AGAAUCAACGCUGGCGGCGUGCCUAACACAUGCAAGUCGAACGCGAAAACCCCGCAAGGGGUUAGUAGAGUGGCAAACGGGUGAGUAACACGUGGGUGACCUGCCUUCGAGUGGGGGAUAACGUCCCGAAAGGGACGCUAAUACCGCAUGACAUCCUGCUUUUGGAAAAGCGGAGAUCAAAGCUGGGGAUUCGCAAGAACCUGGCGCUUGAAGAGGGGCCCGCGCCUGAUUAGCUAGUUGGUAGGGUAACGGCCUACCAAGGCGACGAUCAGUA